CACUAAGCUGCCAGGCUCCAUUCUUAUCUUCUUCGUCUUCAACCUGUACGCAUGAGAGAGAAAGGGAAAGGAAGAAAAAAGGAAAAAGAGAGAAGAGAAGAAGAAUUAAUAGGGAAAAUUGAGUGGAAAUUAGUAGAUUUGAAGAAAUUGAAGCUCCAGCCCGUGAGGAGCUCGAGUGGCCAUGAGUCAAGGAAGGUGUAACGUGCUCAGAAGCUUAAAUUGGUAUUUCGACGAACCUACGACGCGCUAAUUGAGAAACGCUUCGUUCUAACUACGGGUACAUCGAGUCGUGAGGACGUGAUACUUGUGAGCUCCGGGAUAUUGGCUUUAGUAUUUCGGCAUCCCUACAGGUUCUAGCUCGUGCGAGGUGAUCGAGGAUCGUGGUAUGGACAGCGUUCCAUAGAUAGUGGACAUCCAUUGAGUAUAGUUGUACCUUAUUUAUUUCAUCUAUUUAUAGUCAAUGAAAGCAAAUGUAAAUUAUUCAUUUGAGAAAUGGCAAUGUAUAUAUUGGAAGAAUGAAUGUAAUAAUUAUGUAAGCUUUGUAUUUGAUUUAAAGUAAUUAAGAUACAAUGUAUGAAUGGUUUAGUUAGUUUA